rnacentral:lncRNA from 1 species
AUGGUGAGCUCACAGAAAGCACCAGAUGGAAACUCUAAAAUGCAAUUUGCAGCCUUGAGACCCUUGAGAUCCUUAAGAGAGCUAUAUUGGCCGGAGAAGCAAGAAACCAAAGGAAGCAACUUGAAAGAUGCAAAAAUGGCAGGCAGUGCUGGGUGCUCCCAGCUGCCUUCCCUGGGCAGGGCCAGGCCACGGAGUGAGAGAAUCCAUUCCCACCAGGCACCUCCCAGCCUGGCAAAUGAUUACUCUCUGAAUGAUUCUGGCUUCACCCAGCUGCUUGGAAAGGAGCUUGCAGGAAGGAAAGAGUACGUUCCCCCAUCCUGGGAAACAGUGCUGACUUCCUGGCCAUCUCCAGUGCUAAAAAGACUCUGUGUGGCUGUGGAAAGACAAUCAUGUUUUCACCUGCAAGCCAAGACCCUGGAAAACACGCACAUCUAUGACUCAAAUCAAGUUACAGUAACAGCCCCAUGCUCCUGACUGCAUGAGGAUGACUGGUGAAUACAGAUGAAUGCAAGGACCUGGAUUAUCUACAGAAUACAGGGAUACCCACACCCACCACCCCUAGACAAUUAUAGACUCAGGCUUUAGGGAUAUUAACUCAGGAACAGGCUCGUGAAUUGGGUGUUGCCAGUUAGCCGGGAGGGUUUGAUAGGGGCCCGAGGCAACAGCAAAAUGAAAAGAAUACCCUGGUGCCUCUAGUCCCAGCUGCGGAAGGGUGCAGAGCAACAACGCAGAGGGAUGAAUAGAUGGAACAGCGGCUAUGUGCAGUCUAUGGUGCUUUCCACCAGGUGGAAGACUUUCCAGAAAGCCUGCCUGAGUCCUCGAGCGAUUCACAAAAAACCCACUUGCUGUGAAGUUCAAGAAUUGACUGACAAAAACAACACACGCUGGCCUUUCCACCUGCCCUUCAUCCCUACUACUGCUGGGCUAAUUGAAAGGAUGAACGGAUGACUUAAACAACAGUUGAGAUGGAAACCUGCUUUCUCCACGCGGGGACUAACUUAAGCCCUGAGAACUAUAUAACUGAACAUCCCAGGAGCAGUCAUCUCUAAUCAUCUCUAACCCUAUGCUGUAUGAACCCAGAGGCAAGUAGGCAACACAACCUGAUUUCAGCUGUGGACCACUCCCGGUCAGGACAAUAGCUCACUUCUGCCCUUGUCACAGAAUCUACCCCAGUGGAAAGCACUGUAAGAUGGGACUGGAUGGUACGUCCCCGGUGGCUCGAGUUUGCUGCCCCAUGGGAAACAGAAUUAGAGAAGGAUUUGCAAAUUUCACCGGGGCCUCUACCUGGCCCCUCCUAAGGCCUCUAAGGUAACCAAUCUGGGCCCCCCACUGGAGAAAGGCACCAUCACAUGAACCCUGUGGGCUGUUGUUAAACCGCCUCCCCAGUACUGGGCACCGAUGGUGGGGAUGGAUGGUGGACAGGUGGAAUCGUCCUGCAGGGCAGGGGGAAAGUCACAGGCAGGGUUGCUAUGAUCUCAGAAUGCUGUUCCUGCUUGCAUUUUGCCUAGCGGUCAUGAUCUUCCCUGUACUGUGCCUGUUCAUCACUUUAUGUUUCUUCCUUAGUCUGUACAGAGGGAAUCUGCUUGUGGACUGGGCGACGACAGUGGCCUCCCUGAGAAAUGGGCUUGAUUGCUGGGUUGACAGCAAGGUACUGCUAUCAUCCUUUGGACUUCCAUGAAAGGGUGAUCCAGUAAAGCAUCUGGCUCCAAAGUCUACCCACCUGUUGGACUCUUGAUACUCUCGCUGCUGUUGUCUGUACUUCAUUUGUGGUAUUUGGCUGGAGGGCACCUCUACAUACGUGAUCCCAGGGCUAUCAAGGAUGAGGGGCAGACCAAGAUCAUAAGGGUUAUGCAGAGUAUGAGUAGGGGCGGACUGUGGUCAGGCCACUCAGAUGACGGUUCUCUUGACUUUCUACAUCACCUUCUCCACCAAUCCCUGCCUCACCUACAAAGCCUUGCUUGCACUGAUCAGGUGGGUGGCCCCCCUCGAUCAUAUGCACACCCCCCUUGUUCACCUGCACACCCCCUUUUGUUCACGAGCCCCAUCUUGGGUCACAGGCAUGGUUCCCCCUUGAUCAUGUACACACCUCUCUUGAUCACAGUGUCCACCCCCUAAAUAUCCCAAGUGUUCACCAUGGCUGGCAUUCUGUGUGCCCUCAAGGGAACAUGUUAUAGAUUCAGAUCUUGGGCCUACAGCUGCUCUGACAUCUGGUACAUCAAUUCAGUUCAGUUCAGUCGCUCAGCUGUGCCCGACUCUUUGCAACCCCAUGAACCGCAACACACCAGGCCUCUCUGUCCAUCACCAACUCCCGGAGUUUAUCCAAACUCAUGUCCAUUGAGGCAGUGAUGCCAUCUAACCAUCUCAUCCUCUGUCAUCCCCUUCUCCUCCUGCCUUCAAUCUUUCCCAACAUCAAGGUCUUUUCAAAUGAGUCAGCUCUUCUCAUCAGGUGGCCAAAAUAUUGGAGUUUCAGCUUCAACAUCAGUCCUUCCAAUGAACACCCAGGACUGAUUUCUUUUAGGAUGGACUGGUUGGAUCUCCUUGCAGUCCAAGGGACUCUCAAGAGUCUUCUCCAACACCACAGUUCAAAAGCAUCAAUUCUUCUGCUCUCAGCUUUCUUCAUAGUUCAACUCUCACAAGGUGGGAUUUAUUUCUUGGGAUCCAAAGGAGCACUAACCAGGGUCAUUCCUCCAGCCCUUGUCCAGUCCACCUCUUACCGGCAGGAAGUACCCAGAGUUGACCUAGCCCUUUUCCUUCCAGAUGAAAGAAUGACCCAAAGAUGAGGGGCUGAACCAAAGGGUUAAACCCACUCCACUUGCCCUCAGGAAUUAAAGUCGUGAAGACUUUGGGUUCUCCAAUCAGCACAGAGCCUAACUAAUAAGCUCUUUCCCAGAGGAAUUACUUUCUAGGAACUUGGAGCCUCAGCUGUGUCUAGCUGGGGCUCAGCAGGUGAGGCUGAAUAGAACCCUGGACGCCUGCACUAGGCCUGUGCUCUUUGCUGGCGGGUCUGUUGUGAACGUUUAGGGACCUGGAGCCUGCGCAGAAGGGCACUUCCCCC